AUGAAAUUUCUCUAUGUUCUACCUGGUUGGGAGGGUUCGUCAUCAUACUCGAGAGUGCUAAAAUAUGCUAUGAGAAUCGAUCGCGAAGAUGCAUUUGUUGUACCACAGGGAAAGUACUAUCUUGUUGAUGCUGGCUAUACCAAUGGACCUGGAUUUCUAUCUCCAUUCAGAUCCACUCGAUACCACUUGAAAGAGUGGAUGGCAAGUCAACAGCAACCCCAAAAUGAAAGAGAGUUGUAUAACUUGCGCCAUGCUCGUGCUAGAAAUGUUGUGGAGAGAACCUUUGGCUUGUUGAAGAAACAAUGGGCCAUCCUUCUUGUUCUUUCUUUGACAUAG
rnacentral:rRNA from 1 species